CACAUGUGAAUGAAUUCUCUCCUUCCAAGAAUAUAUGUACAAUCAAUAAUAAUUUAAGAAUAUUCAAGGGCAUUUUUGUCUAUUUAUAUAUAUAUAUAUAUUAAAUUUUAUAUUUAAUAUAUUUAUAUUUAUAUAUAUAGGAAGCAUAUAUUGGUGAUUGAGUCAUUAAUAAUAUAGUUUCUCUUUGAUAAAAAUGGAGUUAUCAUCAUCAUGUAGUUUCAUCCAAGAAGCCAUUAGAGAUCUCUUAAAGUGUUUGGGCAUUGAGUCUCAUAAUAAAUCUCAUAAUCAAGAUCAUCCACUAAUUAAUAAUGAUGAAGAUGAUGAUCAUAAAUCUUCUACCAAAAAUGAUCAAGACCAUAAUAAUAGAGUUGUAAUUACAACAAGAGCUGCUAAUAGAAAGCCAGGAUUUACUAGAGGCAGUGGUGGAAAGCAUUUUUAAAUCAUCUUCACUACUAUAGGAUCUUAUUAUUAUUAUUUAUUAUUAGUAUAAAUCUAAAUAUAUAUAUAAUAAUAAUAAUAUUGGCAAAUUAAUUUAGCUAUAUUAUUAUUAUAGGAAAAUAUUAAUAAUUGUGGUUUCACAAUUUUUUGCCUGUAAUUUGUGAAGAUUAAUCUCUAAAUUUAAUAAUAUUUGUAGUUUGACCUUUCA